rnacentral:lncRNA from 1 species
AUGAGGAAGCCGAUGAUGAUGAAGAAGAAGAAGAAGAAGUUGGUGAAGAGAUUUUUUUGGGUAGUGAAAGGAAAGCUCUGAUCUUUAAAGAAGAUGGAGGUGAUGCAACACGAUCGUAUUCCUCGAUGAGAUUUGCCAGAUCCUCAUCGGAGGUGAUCGAAACCAAAGCGUCAAGAUCCUCUGUUGGCAAUUGACAUCGCAGACUCACACUCACUGUUGCCCCACACAUCUCCCCAAGCUUCAACAACAGCUCUGUAACACCAUCACAAUCAUUUCACCCCAUAUCAUUACUAUGUACGUACUCAUUAUAUACAUACCUACAUAUAUACAUACAUGCAUGGGAUUGUUUCUUCAAACCUACCUAAAUAAUUAAUACUACGAGCUCUUUCUUUAAACAUCACAAGCAUAAAGAUCAAAAUGAUGACAACAAUGGGAAAAU